CGAGUACAGCGGCGCACGGGUGAGUAACACGUAGGUAACCUACCCUCGAGCCUGGGAUAACCUACCGAAAGGUGGGCUAAUACCGGAUAUGACCACGGCGGUUUCGGCCGCUGCGGUGAAAGGUGGUCUCUGCUCGCAUGCUAUUACUCGGGGAUGGGCCUGCGCGCCAUUAGCUUGUUGGUGAGGUAACGGCUCACCAAGGCUCCGAUGGCUAGCUGGUCUGAGAGGAUGACCAGUCACACUGGGACUGAAACACGGCCCAGACUCCUACGGGAGGCAGCAGUGGGGGAUAUUGCGCAAUGGGCGAAAGCCUGACGCAGCGACGUCGCGUGGGUGAUGAAGGCCCUCGGGUCGUAAAGCCCUGUCGAGGGGGAAGAAAUGGUCGAGACCCAAUACGUCUCGGCCUUGACGGUACCCCUAAAGGAAGCACCGGCUAACUCCGUGCCAGCAGCCGCGGUAAUACGGAGGGUGCGAGCGUUGUUCGGAAUCACUGGGCGUAAAGCGCGUGCAGGCGGCUCGGUAAGUUUGGUGUGAAAGCCCGGGGCUCAACUCCGGAAGUGCACUGGAUACUGUCGAGCUCGAGUCCCGGAGAGGAAGGUGGAAUUCCUGGUGUAGCGGUGAAAUGCGUAGAUAUCAGGAGGAACACCGGCGGCGAAGGCGGCCUUCUGGACGGUGACUGACGCUGAGACGCGAAAGCGUGGGGAGCAAACAGGAUUAGAUACCCUGGUAGUCCACGCCGUAAACGAUGAGAACUAGGUGUCGC
rnacentral:rRNA from 1 species